AGGUGUUGCGUUGCUGUUCGUUGCUGUGCAGCCUCCGCCACGCCUUGUCGUCGCCAGAGUUGCCACCGCCGCGUGCCACCGCCGCUUCUCACCGCCGAGGGAAAGCCUUGCCUACGUUGCUGCCUUCCGGGUCAGAUUCACCGAUUAAUGCUACUGCCGCUAGAACAGGUUUCCUGGUCUGAUUUCUGCUUCUUGCGGCUCCACUGUUCUGUUCCUCUGUAGCUGCAGUGAGUUUUCCAUCUAAAAUCCUUAUAAUUAUUGUUGUCAUAUGCUUGUUCUGAUUCAAUUUUUGAUAUAUGUCCUUGUC